UACGGGGGGGGCAAGCGUUGUUCGGAAUUACUGGGCAUAAAGGGCUUGUAGGCGGCCAACUAAGUCAGACGUGAAAUCCCUCGGCUUAACCGGGGAACGGCGUCUGAUACUGGAUGGCUUGAGUUCGGGAGAGGGAUGCGGAAUUCCAGGUGUAGCGGUGAAAUGCGUAGAUAUCUGGAGGAACACCGGUGGCGAAGGCGGCAUCCUGGACCGACACUGACGCUGAAAAGCGAAAGCCAGGGGAGCAAACGGG
rnacentral:rRNA from 1 species